GAAGCUGCAACCAAAAUUUUCUUUCAAGAUUACCAUUGAGAGGAGGAGCCAAGAUGGCCGAAUAGGAACAGCUCCGGUCUACAGCUCCCAGCGUAGAAGACGCAGAAGACGGUGAUUUCUGCAUUUCCAUCUGAGCAAUCAGUUUCAUGACAGAAUUGCAUUUGAUGUUGGGGUCCUGCUCUGUUGGUCAGGCUAGAGUGCCGUGGUGCUAUCAGGGCACAUCUUCAACCUACUGGGCUUGAGUGAUCCUCCUACCUCAGCCUCCCGAGUAGCUGGAACUACAGGAACACAGAAGAGACCGUCCCUGGCACCAAUUGUCCAUGUGCUUCCUGACAUUUCCCAGUCUCCCUUGCAGUUAGAUGCGCAGUUAGCUGAAGCUCAAUGAUAAGAAUGUGAAUGGGAGUCUGAUCUGAAGCAGCUAAGAACAGAUGCAAAUUCUCCACUGACGCCUUGGCUGGAAGUGAAGAACUCUGAAAUGGAGUCAUUGGAAAACUGAAGCAGCUGGAUUCCUGAGACAUCACUGGAGAACCACCAAACCACUAAUACCUGACCUGCAUCAGAUUAUGAUGUGAGCAAGUAGAAAAUCUUGUUCACUCAGUGUUGUUAUAUUAAGCUACUGAGAUUCUGGGGUUUGUGUUUCUGACCUAGGAAAUUGCUUUCUGGAAAUUAUAAAAUCUAAGAUUUUCCAUUUAAGCCCCUCUAAACUUUCUACUUUGAAAGAUAUA